GACGCGCACGUGCGACGUGCGAGCUGUGCAUGAUUUUGAGUUCGAAAUGAUAUCCCAUAUAAUAAAUAAUUUCUGGAUAAUUUCUUCGUCGUUGUAAAAAUUGUUAUUUCAAAAUCAAUUUUCGUCAAACCUCUAUGUACGUUUGUAAUAUCAUGAUUGACCGAUUUCUGUACGCAUUCCACAGUGUAUUCCUUACAACUGCACAUAGGAGUUUAGCCUCGAGUUUUACAAAGAAUUGGUUUGUUCGAAAAUAAUAAUUACGUCGACGAUGAAGAAAAAACCAGAACUAACUUUUGAUUGUGACCUUGCCCCAUAGCAGGCCACGAUACGAGUGAGGAAGAGGUCAUCUGGGGUAGUAUAAUGGCUGUACUCUGCUAUCAAACCACCCUUGGAUAUAGCCCCCAGGUUUGGGACAUCCUUUUGUAGGGCCAGUAAAUGGCCGUGGGCAUCUGUAUCUGGCAGUCGAUAUGGGCCAUCCGCGAUUGAUCCUGAGCGAUUGACGAUGAGAUGUGCACCAAUUUUAUACAGAGUCAAGUGCCUUCUGCAUAUUACUUUUCAUGGAAGAAAAGUGGUCGCUUACGACGAUUAAAGCCACGUCAUCAGCAUAGCCCACCGUUAAUUGUCAUCCUCGUCAUGUCGAGCCCCGUAAGGAGUCCGUCUGCGACCAGGGUCCAGGGGAUACAACGCCGCUUUGCGGUCAUCCCCUGUCUACAUGCGCCCUGACCUCGGUGCCCCCAAGACUAGCCACGACGAUCCUGGUUUGUAUCAUCUGUCUGAUCCAAUGAACUACCCAUUAGCGCUUAUACUAAACCUUAUGGCAGUUUCGCGGAUUGCGUCAAAGGCGUUGUUAUAAAACACGUUUCUUCUACGUCGAUGAACAGUUGACUACAUUAAUUACACCGGUUUUACAAUUUUCAUAAAUUUCAGACAUGUUCAAAAAUAUUAUGUGACAUCUGAUUUACAUGUAACAUAAUGGUGAGGAAAAACUGAGCGAAACAUGAUAUGAUUUCCACACGUAACACUCGACCAUUAGAGGUCCAUACAGAAGUAAAUGUUCCGUGUGGGUAAGAUGGCGGUGUACAUUAAUAAUGGGUAGAA
rnacentral:lncRNA from 1 species